AUCGCUUCUCGGCCUUUUGGCUAAGAUCAAGUGUAGUAUCUGUUCUUAUCAGUUUAAUAACUCUGUCAAGUUGGGAAUCCUUAUCACUGUUAGCCUCAGUUUACCCCUGAGGUCACUAGGGACAGACAGAAAGGAUUAACUAACUUUUCUAUGUUGGGAAAAGAA
ensembl:snRNA U2 U2 spliceosomal RNA